CUACGGGGGGCAGCAGUGAGGAAUUUUGCGCAAUGGGGGAAACCCUGACGCAGCAACGCCGCGUGAGUGAAGAAGGCUUUCGGGUCGUAAAGCUCUGUCAGAUAGGAAAAAAGUUCAUAUGUAAAUAGCUUAUGAAUCUGAUGGUACUAUCAGAGGAAGCACCGGCUAACUCCGUGCCAGCAGCCGCGGUAAUACGGAGGGGUGCAAGCGUUGUUCGGAAUUACUGGGCGUAAAGGGCGUGUAGGCGGUAUGGUAAGUCAGAUGUGAAAGCCCUGGGCUUAACUCAGGAAGUGCAUUUGAUACUGCCAUCCUUGAGUAUGGGAGAGGAGAGUAGAAUUCCCAGUGUAGAGGUGAAAUUCGUAGAUAUUGGGAGGAAUACCCGUGGCGAAGGCGACUCUCUGGACCAAUACUGACGCUGAGACGCGAAAGCGUGGGGAGCAAACAGGAUUAGAUACCCCGGUAGUC
rnacentral:rRNA from 1 species